GUUGCAGUCAUCCACCUUCACUUCGAUGCCCGCGGGAAUGAUGGUGGUUCCUGCAAAGCAGUUUGGGCCUGCAAAUACACACGGGAGUAACAGAGCUUGAAGAGUAGCAACAACAACCACCUCUCCUGCUGCUUUCCUUGUGGCACGGUGAGGGCAGCGGAGCCUCGUGUACAACAACCACGACAUUCAUUAAGGAAUGAAUCCAUAAUUCCUGAUCCAUAACCCAGCAGGCAGGUCGGGAAGGGGCCGGUGCACACGCUGCUGGCUGGGAGAUAAGGGAUGACGCAUCGGGUGCUGCUGUGGGCCCGGUUCAGAUGAAUAAUCCUCAUGCAGGAGGAGCCCCUUGGAUGUCAGCGGUGGCUGUGAUGAGUCAGAGAUCAAAGAACGAGGCUUUUCUGGAAGGAACACCCAACGUUGGCUCGGCCCUCACCAAACCAGAGCCUCUGGCCUGCAAACUGAGCUGGCUCGGCAGCGAGAGGCUGCGCGGCGGCUGCAGCUGGUUGCUCAGCCUCUGCUCAGACGCAGCCCGAGGGGCUGACAGGAGCAAUACUCCCUCCCUGGAUUCUGUAGUCCUCUCCGUGUGUGGUGAGAGCUGGGAGGGGGGGGGCAUGAAAACAGGCUGGGAUUUCAGCUCACCAGCCAGAAGCCAGGCAAAUGUACUGACCUGGGCUAAUGAGACUCAGGAGUCCCGAAGCUGCAGCAACGAGGGCUCUUCCACCCGCACCUCCUGCCACUUCCCGUGCAUUUCCACCAAAGUGCAACUCAAGGUGCUGCUCUGCAGACAGCAAAGCCUGUGGGGGGCCUGAUCCUGCAGGCUACAGAGCAUUUCCUGAGAAGCCAGCAGCCCUCUCCAGUCUGGCAUGGAAGGCGGUGGCCCCAAAGGCAUCUAACCCCAGAGGAGUGUUUUAAUUCCAUCCUGGACCUGACUACUUACCCAGGCGAGGGCAAGAGCUGAGCAAGAAGGACAUUUCCCAUCACAGCCUGAGUUAUUUCUGCUAUUCCUCUCUCACUCAAACAGGGAGGAAAAGUUCAAGUCGAAAGUACUUUUUGGCUUUCAUAAAAAAAUCAGGGCAGGUUAUCUGAAAUAAUUCACUGGGCAAAAAAGCUCCUUCAUUUCUGUAUUUGUAAUGUUCCAAAUUACAAAACAAAGAUCUACAUGCAAAAUCAAGUCACUCCCCUCUGCCCUCCCAGAUUUGAGUCAGUUCAUGUUGAAAGCAUUAAAAUGGGGCAUCUUUUUUAACGUAUGAGCAGCCAGUUUGCUAUAACUGGCCUUUUUCCCAGGGACGUUUCAGUGAGUCAGCAUUUUCUGACCAACAUCUUCCCAUCUUCGUCAAAAACACUCAACCAGCUGCAGAGGAAAAAAAGUCUGAGCUUUGAAAGGUCGGGGAGAACUUUGUGUGCUCGUCUUCACACAGACCCAUUUCUCUCAAGAAAGCCUUGUGCAGGACAUCAGUACUUUUCUGCUUGGUACAUCUGCUCCUGCUCCAUUAAUUCUAACAGACAUGAGCACCCCUGCCAGCACUACCUGGGCACAAAGCAUUUUCAACCUGGACAAAAAUGUGGCUUAGUUGAUGUAAAAGGAGUUCUACCAGUUUACACCAGUUAUUAGGUGUUUUGUUUGUUUGUUUGUUUGUUUCUUCAAACUACAACUCUUUGUGGCAAUGAGGAUUUCUGAAAAGGGUGCAAGUGGAAUACAUCCAUCCUAGAGUGACCUGAGAAGAUUAAACCUGGGCAGCCUCCAUGCACAAGAAAUGUAAUAUUGCCCACAUGGUGCAGAAUACAUGUGACGAGGAUGUAGGAGCUCUGAGCUACCUAAGGGGAGCUUUGAUUGCCUUUUCAUCUUCCUAGGAGAUGAAAUCUAACCUGCAGUUGACAUCCUCUGUGCAAGAAGGUUAAAUCAUACAUACAAUUAGAUCACACACAUCCUAAGUGCAUUGCAGACAAGGCAGACUUCAAACUCUGUUAGGUAGGUCUGUCAGUCUGAGGUGGUUUCCAUACUGUUUUGAAGGGGUUUAGCUUCAUUUUUUGGGCUUGUACCAGGAGCAAACACUGAUUUUUAAGGUUUUCAAUUUCAAGAUCUUGUGUACAAAAAGAAAUUAAAAGGAACAUGGCAUAAGACUCUCUUCUGGCUUUAAUGCCGUGUGGCCAAGACUGGCCACAUCCAUACCACCCAGCACUUUCCCUUGGACCUCCUGCAGACUCCAGGAAGUGCCCUCUUCACCCCCGAGGUGUAAUUAUUUUGUGUGCAUUUCUUUGGACUAUCUGAGCUAGCAGGAGGGCAGCCCUGCAGUCCAGGAAGGUGAUGCUCCCUUAGCGUCAAGGGUGCUGCACGUGCCUCAAGGUUGGGGUGAAGACACAGCCCGGUGGUGGAGCACACAAAGUUUGUUAAAACAGUGCUGGCUGGCUGCUCUGGCUCAGGUGUGCCACCCAGUACAACCCAUACCAAUAGGGCCAGAAGUGCAAGGAACCAGAGCACACCAACCCCACCUGUCAAAGCAAAGAAAGCCACAUGCUCUCCUCUUGUCCUCUGGGCCAAGCUUAAGCUCUUCAGUCUUAGGUAUGAAAUCAGAUCACCACUGCAGAAGGGUUUUCUGUACACAGCCACAGAAAGCAAGAGAUUACCCCCAACCAGCUAAGCUCUUUGCAGCCUGUGCUGCAGGAUCUGAGGUGAGAAAAGCCUCAGGCUGCAGGAGAGAUGCCCUGGCAUUGAUUCGUUGACCUGCACUGAGAGCUGAAAGCACCUGUGGAAAGUCAGAGCAUGAAGAAAGCUACACGAGAGGGACUGGGGUGGGCCAAAGGGGUGGAAGGAAAUGGAUGCUGAUGUUUAUGGCAGCAGAGCAUCUCUGGACAAGAGGGACCACAAUACCUGAUGGCAGUCUUGGCACUGUAUGAGCCCUGAGCCUCUCCUCCAGCAACCUUCUCCAGGCAGUAUAGUUCAACCACUGUCACACAGCAGUAUCACUGCCACAGAUACCUAAUGCUCUUUCACCCUCACCUGGACAUGCUGCAUCAAGCUAUGGGUCCCUCUAGCAAACAGUUCCCCAAAACUUGCACUUAUUUUCAUUCUGCCCAGGAGAUGUGCUCCAUCAGCCAAGCAGGGAUGGAGAUGAAGAAAAAUGCACCUUUAAAAAUAAUUCUUACUCUCUCCAGCUGAACGGAUUUGGCAAGUGUAGCAGGCUGGAAUGAUGUGCAAACAUACAGUCAUACCCAGAAUGAGAUUACUGCACUGAUUUCCUUUGCAGAGGUGUGUAGGUGUAGCAAAGGUGGAAGGCUGUGGCUGAAAGGUGGGACCCUACCAAAGAAGCAGAGAGGAUGGAGACACAGAAGAGGCAGAGGGAAGGAAAGAAAGCAGGAGGAGAAAACUUCUAAAUGCCUUUUUUUAAUUCUAAGUUUUCUCAGACUUGCUUAGCUCUAAUCUUUAAUUCCUAUUUUCAUUACUGUCUCUUUGCUCUGGAAAGUCUGCAUUUCAUGAAAAGGGAACAGCUCAAACAUCAAUUAUUUGACAUAAGUCAACCCCUUGUUAAUGUCCUCUACUCUACAUAUAUGUAGGCUCCAAGAAAAGAAGCAUUAAACAUUCAUUAAAUUAGAAAUACAUGAAGACAGUGUCUGCUCCUCUUCUCAUACAGAUGUGCUUAAUAAUCCCAACCUCCUUGAGCAGCAAAACCCAUCUCUAAUCCUUUUAGAAAGCCUGGCCAUGCCAAACACCCCAUCCUCCUGCAGUUUGCCUGCGAGUCACCCAGACGUGUCAGCUCUCGCAGGUCAGAUCCUCAGCUGCAGUAAAUCAGAGUAAGACCAGAGCAUUACGCCAAGUGACACGGACUCAGGAUUUGGCUUCAGGCUCCUCCUGCAGCAAAACACUUCACAGCAAACUGAUGGGGAUGAUAAUGUCACUUUGGGUCUUUUAAGCUACACAAGGACCUGAGCAGGUGGGGAACAGCAGCACCGCAACUGCUUUAGAUUCGCUACUGCCCGGGCUGCUUCCGUUCUGCAAAAGGAACCUGGUUUCCCAACCUGAAUCUAGGAACUUUCUACCCCCCCCCCCAAACCCCAAACUCACCCCCUCCUCUACAAUAUACUAUCAUGAUGAUAAAGGCUCUUGAACUUCCACUGCUUCUGCAUACAAAUUUCAGCAACAUGUUCCCAAGGGGAAACAAUCGCUGAUGAGCAGACGCUGCCUCAUAAAUAUUUCUGAGUUUAAAGAACAAUGCAGACCAUGUAACAUGUUUCCCACGUCCCUGUGAGCUGUGUCCACUUAAUGAGAGCUUUGGAGCAAGUCCCAUCCAACAAAUGGCUUCUCAUAAUCCUCCCCAACCUUUCUCUUUCAGGUGCCUGUAGACAUUAAUUUUGAACUCUGUUGGGGUGGAAGCAUGGAAACAUGGUUAGGACCUGGGGUACAAACUCAGGAGAGUGGCUUUCAGCUCCUGCCUGGCCUCAUGCUGGCUGGUAGAGUGUUCUCCUGCCUUGUUUAAGAUGGGAAUUAUCCCUGUCUUGCUCCCUGGGCAAACAAAAUGCUCGGGAAGCACUAGCUGACCUGUAAGGGUGCAGACAACAAAGACGUUGGGUCAGAAGGGGUGGCUGUCCCACUGGCUCCUCUUUGAAUUGAGCUCUUCCCAGCAGUGUCCCUGUCCCUCUGAAGGUGCACGGUCCAGCAGUCAUUGCUUUGGGUGAGCACUGAGCUCUGUGAUGGAGUUAAUCACAUGAAGUGCUGUUCAGCUCAUGCCUCUUUUCGUUCUCUAAAGGCUCUUCCUCCCCCUUGUCUCUUUUGGUUUCUCCUCCCAGACUUCAGGGGGUGGCAGAUUCAACUCAGCCCUCCUUGAUGCCACCCAGCACCAAGAUGGCUAAUUUUGGAAGGUUUAACCUCUAUAUACCUUUGCAAAGCUUUGCACCAUUAUUAGAUGACUCUUCCAACAGCUGUGUCCACAGGGAGCAGGUCACAGGGCGUUCAAGCGUCUGGAUAAUCCAACGGUGUGAGACUUCCAAAAGGAGAGCUAGCUCUUGACAGGUGUCUGUGUAACUCUCAGCAGCAAAUUUGGCAUCUACGUGUCUUUAACCACUUUGCCCAAGUGAUGGAGGUGGGCGAGCUCCCCUGAAAAUACAUUGCAGUGAAGUGACUCCUUUUUCAAGCAAGGGUAAAGCAAGCACUGAAGUAUUUUGGUCAGGUUGCUGACUGUCUGGCCCAAAUAUACCACCUUUCUUUCAGUCUUGAUCUUUUUCCUAGCUUUUAAAUCAAUCCCUUUUUUUUGCUCCUGUUGGUAAUCAAAUCCCUCCUUUGAUUGAGCUAACAGGGCACCACAGUUUACAUUCCUGCUGGUAAACACAAAGAACAUUAGCUGACAAACAAUCAAAACACAUCCUUUUUAGUCUCAGGAGUUUUCUUUUGCAUUCAGCCUUCCAAACCCAUCGAUUUUCAUAGCCCUUGGUGCCCUGGGCUCUGUCAUGGCAACAUUAAGGCAGCUCCUACAGCUUCUGCAAGAAUGGAAGCCAGCUCCUGAUCUGGGGUGGCAUCUCUUCAGCAGCCCAGCAGGGCUAAGGAGUGGGCUGUGGAACAACCAGCAGCUCCCACGCGUGGGACAAGAGCUGCCCGAAGAGGAGCAGGUCCUUGCUGUGACCUCUCAGCCUGCCAUCUGAAUGGGGUUGUUGUUGGGGGGGGGGGUUACCCAAAAAGCUGGCUGGCUACCAUCAAUACUUCAUCCACCAAGAACGAAGGGUGAUGUGGCUACACUACACUACUGGCUUCAGCCUCCAGGACCUAUGAAGAGGAUCGAGGAGUCCAGCAAAGUCCAGCCUGGGGGAUAUUUCCUCUUCUUGGUUGGUCACGUUCAGCUUGCAUCUGCACAAUCAAUCAGCACAUUGCAUAGACUUUGACUGAAGGGGUUUUAAUUGCAAUCUUAAAAUCUGGCCAUUUCAGGAAUUCCUGAAAUAAAUUAGAAGAGGAAUUUUAUUUAGUUGUUGUUUUGUUUUUUUUUCUAUUCCCCAUGGUUCCAAACCACUGUUUUCCACACAGUAAAUGGUUAAGUCUUCUCUCAUC